CUGGCUCAGGAUGAACGCUAGCUACAGGCUUAACACAUGCAAGUCGAGGGGCAGCAGGACGAUAGCUUGCUAUGUUGCUGGCGACCGGCGCACGGGUGAGUAACGCGUAUCCAACCUUCCCCUUAGUAGAGGAUAGCCCGGCGAAAGUCGGAUUAAUACUCUAUGUUGUAUUAUGAGGACAUCUGAGUAAUACCAAAGAUUCAUCGCUAAGGGAUGGGGAUGCGUCUGAUUAGCUUGUUGGCGGGGUAACGGCCCACCAAGGCGACGAUCAGUAGGGGUUCUGAGAGGAAGGUCCCCCCACAUUGGUACUGAGACACGGACCAAACUCCUACGGGAGGCAGCAGUGAGGAAUAUUGGUCAAUGGGCGGAAGCCUGAACCAGCCAAGUAGCGUGCCAGGACGACUGCCCUAUGGGUUGUAAACUGCUUUUAUAGGGGAAUAAAGUGAGUCACGUGUGGCUUUUUGUAUGUACCCUAUGAAUAAGGACCGGCUAAUUCCGUGCCAGCCGCUGC
rnacentral:rRNA from 1 species